rnacentral:pre_miRNA from 1 species
GAGGUCAAUAUAACCGGCCAGGGAACAGCUCGCAAUCCCAGGAUCCGACGAUCGCGUGCUGUUCCCUGGCCGGUUAUAUCCCUCUG